UGGGGAAUAUUGCACAAUGGGCGCAAGCCUGAUGCAGCCAUGCCGCGUGUGUGAAGAAGGCCUUCGGGUUGUAAAGCACUUUCAGCGAGGAGGAAGGUGGUGGACUUAAUACGUCAUCAAUUGACGUUACUCGCAGAAGAAGCACCGGCUAACUCCGUGCCAGCAGCCGCGGUAAUACGGAGGGUGCAAGCGUUAAUCGGAAUUACUGGGCGUAAAGCGCACGCAGGCGGUUUGUUAAGUCAGAUGUGAAAUCCCCGGGCUCAACCUGGGAACUGCAUUUGAAACUGGCAAGCUAGAGUCUCGUAGAGGGGGGUAGAAUUCCAGGUGUAGCGGUGAAAUGCGUAGAGAUCUGGAGGAAUACCGGUGGCGAAGGCGGCCCCCUGGACGAAGACUGACGCUCAGGUGCGAAAGGCGUGGGGCAGCAAACAGGAUUAGAUACCCUGGUAGUCCACGCUGUAAACGAUGUCGAUUUUGGAGGUUGUGCCCUUGAGGCGUGGCUUCCGGAGCUAACGCGUUAAAUCGACCGCCU
rnacentral:rRNA from 1 species